ACGUAGGUACCGAGCGUUAUCCGGAUUUACUGGGCGUAAAGCGCGUUCAGGCGGCUCAGCAAGUCGGGCAUGAAAUCUCUCGGCUCAACCGGGAGGGGCUGUCCGAAACUGCUGGGCUUGAGGGCAGUAGAGGGUGGUGGAAUUCCGGGUGUAGUGGUGAAAUGCGUAGAUAUCCGGAGGAACACCAGUGGCGAAAGCGGCCACCUGGACUGUACCUGACGCUCGAACGCGAAAGCUAGGGGAGCAAACAGGA
rnacentral:rRNA from 1 species